rnacentral:rRNA from 1 species
UACGUAGGGUGCAAGCGUUGUCCGGAAUUAUUGGGCGUAAAGAGCUCGUAGGCGGUUUGUCGCGUCUGCUGUGAAACUCGAGGCUCAACCUCGGGCUUGCAGUGGGUACGGGCAGACUAGAGUGCGGUAGGGGUGACUGGAAUUCCUGGUGUAGCGGUGGAAUGCGCAGAUAUCAGGAGGAACACCGAUGGCGAAGGCAGGUCACUGGGCCGCA